UGCAGUCGCACGAGAAAGGUUCCUUCGGGAGCUGAGUAAAGUGGCGGACGGGUGGGUAAUGCAUAGAUAACUUACCCUUGAGAUGGGGACAACAUUUCGAAAGGAGUGCUAAUACCCAAUACUGUCGCUCGCCUGCGGGUGAGUGAUGAAAGGAGGCCUCUGUUUUAAGCUUCCGCUCAAGGAGGGGUCUAUGUCCUAUUAGCUUGUUGGUGAGGUAAAGGCUCACCAAGGCUUCGAUGGGUAGCCGGCCUGAGAGGGUGAUCGGCCACAUUGGGACUGAGACACUGCCCAGACUCCUACGGGAGGCUGCAGUCGAGAAUCUUCCGCAAUGCGCGCAAGCGUGACGGAGCGACGCCGCGUGGGUGAUGAAGGCCUUCGGGUUGUAAAGCCCUGUCAGCUGCCAAGAAUGGCGGGUCGUGAAUAGCGAUCCCGUUUGACUAAGCAGCAGAGGAAGCACCGGCUAAAUACGUGCCAGCAGCCGCGGUAAUACGUAUGGUGCAAACGUUGUUCGGAAUCACUGGGCUUAAAGCGGGCGUAGGCGGUCUGGUAAGUUCGUUGUGGAAGCCCUCGGCUCAACCGAGGAACUGCAACGGAUACUGCCAGGCUAGAGUGCAGGAGGGGAGAGUGGAAUUCCU
rnacentral:rRNA from 1 species